rnacentral:rRNA from 1 species
GCUGCCAAGCUAGCCAAUCCAACCCCUUUAAACAAACAACAAUAUAUACAGGCCAAUAACCCUAAACCUUCAAACUAAACCAUUUUUCCUCCCUAGUAUUGGAGAAAGAAAAGGAUACUCUUGAGCAAUAGAAAAAGUACCGCAAGGGAACGCUGAAAAAGAAAUGAAACAAACCAUUCAAGCACAAAAAAGCAGAGAUUAACACUCGUACCUUUUGCAUCAUGAUCUAGCUAGCAUAAAUCAGGCAAAGAGGCCUUCAGUCUGAGCCCCCGAAACUAGAUGAGCUACUUCAAGACAGCCUACACAGGGCAAACCCGUCUCUGUGGCAAAAGAGUGGGAAGAUCUUCAAGUAGAGGUGACAAACCUAACGAAUCUAGUGAUAGCUGGUUGCUUGAAAAAUGAAUUUUAGUUCAGCCAUAUAGCCUGCUCUAACCAAACUUACCCUAAAAAGAAAACGAGUAGCUAUAAAAGUUAGUCAAUGGAGGUACAGCUCCCUUGAAAAAGAACACAACCUUUACAGAAGGGUAAAGAUCAUAUUUCUUAAGGUACUCUGUUACAGUGGGCCUAAAAGCAGCCAUCUAAUUAAAAAGCGUUAAAGCUUAAACAGAAAACAAACCUAUCAUCCCGACAAUUAAUCUCACCCCUCCAACAUUAUCAAGCUAUUCUAUACUUAUAUAGAAGAAACAAUGCUAGAAUAAGUAACAAGAAGAUAUAAUCUUCUCUCAGCACAUGUGUAAGUCAGAUCGGACCACCCACUGACAAUUAGAAUGAACCCAACCAAAGAGGGCAUUACAGACCAAAAACUAUCCUAGAAAAUCCUGUAUUACAAUCAUUAAUCCUACACCGGUGUGCUAUUCAAAAGAAAGACUAAAUGAGGAAAGAAGGAACUCGGCAAACCAAGGUCUCGCCUGUUUACCAAAAACAUGGCCUCUUGCAAACCCCCAAAAAUAAGAGGUCCAACCUGCCCAGUGACUUCAAAAAGUUAAACGGCCGCGGUAUUUUAACCGUGCUAAGGUAGCGUAAUCACUUGUCUUUUAAAUGAAGACCCGUAUGAAAGGUACCACGAAGACCUUACUGUCUCCUUCCUCAAGUCAGUGAAAUUGAUCUAUUCGUGCAGAAGCGAAUAUCACAACAUAAGACGAGAAGACCCUGUGGAGCUUAAGAUGUUUAUUUACUUGCGCUUAGUAAAAUUAUCAACUAAUUUUAAAGCCUAGCAACCCUAACAUACAACAUCUUCGGUUGGGGCGACCAUGGAGGACAAAAAAGCCUCCAAGAAGAAACUCGGGGAAUAGUCAAACAAUCCCUAAGAACCAAGAACCACAAUUCCAAGUAACAGAAAAUUCUGACUAACAAUGAUCCGAACUUUUCGAUCAACGAACCAAGUUACCCCAGGGAUAACAGCGCAAUCCUUUCCAAGAGCCCAUAUCGCCGAAAGGGUUUACGACCUCGAUGUUGGAUCAGGACAUCCUAAUGGCGAAAAUUCUAUUAAGGGUUCGUUUGUUCAACGAUUAAAGUCCUACGUGAUCUGAGUUCAGACCGGAGCAAUCCAGGUCGGUUUCUAUCUAUGUAGCUACUCUUCCUAGUACGAAAGGACCGGAAGAAGUGAAGCCAAUAUUCUAAAUACGCUUCAUUCCUACUUAAUGAAAACAACUAAAAUAAUAAAGGAAAGCACCUACUAACCCAGAGACAAUGGUA